UCUCCGUUGGUGAACCAGCGGAGGGAUCAUUACCGAGUUUACAACUCCCAAACCCAAGGUGAACGUUACCAAACUGUUGCCUCGGCGGGAUCUCUGCCCCGGGUGCGUCGCAGCCCCGGACCAAGGCGCCCGCCGGCGGACCAAACUAAAACUCUUAUUGUAUACCCCCUCGCCAGUUUAUUUAUAAUCUGAGCCUUAUCGGCGCCUCUCGUAGGCGUUUCGAAAAUAAAUCAAAACUUUCAACAACGGAUCUCUUGGUUCUG
rnacentral:misc_RNA from 1 species